rnacentral:rRNA from 1 species
AUACGGAGGAUCCGAGCGUUAUCCGGAUUUAUUGGGUUUAAAGGGUGCGCAGGCGGCCAUUUAAGUCAGCGGUUAAAUCGUGGGGCUCAACCCCAUUCUGCCGUUGAUACUGGGUGGCUUGAUUGCGGUCGAGGUUGGCGGAAUUCGUUGUGUAGCGGUGAAAUGCAUAGAUAUGACGAAGAACACCGAGUGCGUAGGCAGCUGACCAGACCGCAAAUGACGCUCAUGCACGAAAGUGCGGGGAUCGAACAGGAUUAGAUACCCUGGUAGUCCGCACAGUAAACGAUGAAUACUUGUUUUCGGCGAUAUAAUGUCGGAGGCAAAGCGAAAGCGAUAAGUAUUCCACCUGGGGAGUACGCCGGCAACGGUGAAACUCAAAUGAAUUGGCGGGG